UACGGAGGGUGCGAGCGUUAAUCGGAAUUACUGGGCGUAAAGGGCACGCAGGCGGUUUGUUAAGUCAGAUGUGAAAUCCCCGCGCUUAACGUGGGAACUGCAUUUGAAACUGGCGAGCUAGAGUCUUGUAGAGGGGGGUAGAAUUCCAGGUGUAGCGGUGAAAUGCGUAGAGAUCUGGAGGAAUACCGGUGGCGAAGGCGGCCCCCUGGACAAAGACUGACGCUGAGGUGCGAAAGCGUGGGGAGCAAACAGG
rnacentral:rRNA from 1 species